rnacentral:rRNA from 1 species
GACGAACGCUGGCGGCGUGCUUAACACAUGCAAGUCGAACGGAAAGGCCCUGCUUUUGUGGGGUGCUCGAGUGGCGAGCGGGUGAGUAACACGUGAGUAACCUGCCCUUGACUUUGGGAUAACUUCAGGAAACUGGGGCUAAUACCGGCUAGGAGCUCCUGCUGCAUGGUGGGGGUGGGAAAGUUUAGGCGGUUGGGGAUGGAAUCGCGGCUUAUCAGCUUGUUGGUGUGGUAGUGGCUUACCAAGGCUUUGACGGGUAGCCGGCCUGAGAGGGUGACAGGCCACAUUGGGACUGAGAUACGGCCCAGACUCCUACGGGAGGCAGCAGUGGGGAAUAUUGCACAAUGGGCGGAAGCCUGAUGCAGCAACGCCGCGUGCGGGAUGACGGCCUUCGGGUUGUAUUCCGCUUUCGCCUGUGACGAAGCGUGAGUGACGGUAAUGGGUAAAGAAGCACCGGCUAACUACGUG